CUGGAAAUUCUUCACAUCAAUAAUGGUAAAUCUGAGAUUAGCCCCUUAGCUCCUCCUUAGUGGCUCUGCAGAGAAGUUUUUCCAAGACUACCAGGAAGAGCUGCAUUCAGAAGAGAAUGUGCUGGCUCAGCUGUGCCCUGUUCAGUCCAUAUGCAGUGAAGAAAACAGGCUUAGAAGUAAUAUCUGUGCCCUGCCUUGAUCAGGCUGGCCAUGCUUUGAAGAAGGCAAGAGCUUGCUUGUGCCUGUAGGGAAGAGCUCACUUUUGCCUGGAAGCAGGUAGAAUAAAAUACUUUAAAUGCAUGUCACAGACAAGGCUGGAAAAAAGGGGUAGAAAAGUCAAUACUUCUAUAAUUAUUCCAGUAAUAGUGCCAGUGGUACAGGCAGACUUGGAUGUUGAAAGUGCAAUAAUGGCAGUGCCUGCAGCGAUAACAAAAGCAGUAUAACAGCACUUCUUUUCCUUUCUUCAAACAGAGCCAUCACAAGAAAGAAAAGGCAAUGUUUUUGAGUAGAAGAAAAGUAUUUUGAUUCUAAUCAUACAUUCCUCUUCCACUUUCUUCUACCUUAAAAUAUACCACUGGGCAGAAGACUGUUGAAAUGAGAGAGUUCCAGUCCUCUUGGGUUGUCUGUGCAAGUGGACCAAUUCUUCUGACUCUGUUCUUUAAUGUUAAAUUUAGCAAGGAUGCCUCCAUGAUAGUUUUUAAUGGGUAUUUGAGAAACAGUGUGCAACACAGGUAAGAGCUUGCUGCUACACCUCUUACGAACAUUACAGCUAGCCCUAGGCUACAAUAGAUUGAUGUUAGCACAGAAACUUUCAAAGCAGAACUGCAGGCAAGAGAGAGCCCAGAUAUCUCAACAUGACACCUGCAUAAUGAAAUUCCAGAAAUUGACACCUGGGUCCGAUGUUCUGUAUUUUCAAAAACAGGCACCAGAAUGCUUGGGAUUCCUGAACUCAACAGACUGAGAUGGCACAAGCAUGGUUAGGACUUCAAAAGUACAGGUGAAGCGGGCAGCAAGUAUGUGAGGUAGGUAGGAAAAGAAUGAGCUAUGGACAGCCCACUAAGCAUGGGUUUAGCUGUUAGGAUUUAGGGGCUAGAAUACCAUCCCUUCUCCCUGGAGGAGGUAAGUGGCACAGGGUUUUGCAGAACUACCUGGAGAAGUCUGUGUAGGCAGAAAGUUACUCCAAACUAGUUCAGGCAUUCCUUUAUUUCAGAGUGUGCAGAAGAAGGAUCAGCCUAAUGUGAGAGUAAAUGGUUAGGAUGUCCACACAGCAUAUGUGACUGAUACAGUUAUUUUAAGAAUGUUGAUUAGAAUAGAUUUUACAGUGGUGAAAAACCUAAUGCAUAUUGGAAAGAAAAAUAAGGCUGGUUAUUCUAAAGGAAAAUGAAAAAUACUUCCAUAAUUAACAGGAUAGAUUCUUUACAACAUUGAUGGGUUUGAUCCAUCAGCAAAAUCUCUCUGAGUUGACACUUAAAGAUGUUUCACAGUGAAGAGAUGGCAUCCUUGUAUUCUGCUCCUGUAGCCAUACUCUGAGUCUUCACAAAGAGCAUUGCAUAGUGCAGGAAAGAUGUAACUGUGACCAUUCACUGGUUUUCCUUGUCUUGCUUUUACAUUGUUUAAGUGAAGAUUAGGAUUUACGCUGCAUCUGGAGCAGGUCAGAAUGAGAUAAUCUUGGUCAUAAGUCUUGCAGAAAUAGCUGAUUUUAGUAGCUUUCUAUAAAUAACCUUGUGUUACAGGCAAUACAGGAUGUGUCACACACAUUUGUAAUGAGAACACCCUUCUGCUCUGUUGUAUGAAGACAAAAUCUAAGGAGAGGGACACUUAUCUGAGUUUCUGAGUAUCUAAGAGAGGAAGGCAAGUUAUUCAAUUCCUUAUCAGUAGAAAAAAAUCUUCAUCCAGUAAUGAAUUGGAUCAUCUUGCUAGCGGAUCGCAUCUGGUACAGCUCUUAUUCGGGUACAGAUUUU
rnacentral:lncRNA from 1 species